rnacentral:rRNA from 1 species
CCUACGGGAGGCAGCAGUGGGGAAUUUUGGACAAUGGGCGCAAGCCUGAUCCAGCCAUUCCGCGUGCAGGACGAAGGCCUUCGGGUUGUAAACUGCUUUUGUACGGAACGAAAAGGUCCUGGUUAAUACCCGGGGCUCAUGACGGUACCGUAAGAAUAAGCACCGGCUAACUACGUGCCAGCAGCCGCGGUAAUACGUAGGGUGCAAGCGUUAAUCGGAAUUACUGGGCGUAAAGCGUGCGCAGGCGGUUAUGUAAGACAGAUGUGAAAUCCCCGGGCUCAACCUGGGAACUGCAUUUGUGACUGCAUAGCUAGAGUACGGUAGAGGGGGAUGGAAUUCCGCGUGUAGCAGUGAAAUGCGUAGAUAUGCGGAGGAACACCGAUGGCGAAGGCAAUCCCCUGGACCUGUACUGACGCUCAUGCACGAAAGCGUGGGGAGCAAACAGGAUUAGAUACCCUGGUAGUCCACGCCCUAAACGAUGUCAACUGGUUGUUGGGUCUUCACUGACUCAGUAACGAAGCUAACGCGUGAAGUUGACCGCCUGGGGAGUACGGCCGCAAGGUUGAAACUCAAAUGAAUUGACGG